UACGUAGGGCGCGAGCGUUGUCCGGAAUUAUUGGGCGUAAAGAGCUCGUAGGCGGCUUGUCGCGUCGACUGUGAAAACCCGUGGCUCAACCAUGUGGUCUGCAGUCGAUACGGGCAGGCUAGAAUUCGGUAGGGGAGACUGGAAUUCCUGGUGUAGCGGUGAAAUGCGCAGAUAUCAGGAGGAACACCGGUGGCGAAGGCGGGUCUCUGGGCCGAUAUUGACGCUGAGGAGCGAAAGCGUGGGGAGCGAACAGG
rnacentral:rRNA from 1 species